CCGAAGAAGGACGGGACUAACACCGAUAUGCUUUGGGGAGCUGUACGUAAGCGUUGAUCCAGAGAUUUCCGAAUGGGGGAACCCACUAUCUUUAGUCGGAUAGUAUCCUUACGUGAAUACAUAGCGUGAGGAAGGCAGACCCAGGGAACUGAAACAUCUAAGUACCUGGAGGAAGAGAAAGAAAAAUCGAUUUCCUGAGUAGCGGCGAGCGAAACGGAAAGAGCCCAAACCAAGAAGCUUGCUUCUUGGGGUUGUAGGACACUCUAUACGGAGUUACAAAAGAAAGUUAUAAAUGAAGCGGUCUGGAAAGGCCCGCCAAAGACGGUAACAGCCCGGUAGUUGAAAUGGCUUUCCCUCCAGAGUGGAUCCUGAGUACGGCGGAACACGUGAAAUUCCGUCGGAAUCCGGGAGGACCAUCUCCCAAGGCUAAAUACUCCCUAGUGACCGAUAGUGAACCAGUACCGUGAGGGAAAGGUGAAAAGCACCCCGGAAGGGGAGUGAAACAGUUCCUGAAACCGUGU
rnacentral:rRNA from 1 species